rnacentral:rRNA from 1 species
AGAGUUUGAUUCUGGCUCAGGACGAACGCUGGCGGCGUGCCUAACACAUGCAAGUCGAACGGGGGUAGCAAUACCUCAGUGGCGAACGGGUGCGUAACACGUGAAGAACUUGUCCAUCGGCGGGGGAUAGCCGGCCCAACGGCCGGGUAAUACCGCGUACGCUUGCUGGGUGGCAUCAUCCGGCAAGGAAAGCAGCAAUGCACCGAUGGAGAGCUUCGCGGCCUAUCAGGUAGUUGGCGGGGUCAAGGCCCACCAAGGCGACGACGGGUAGCUGGUCUGAGAGGAUGGCCAGCCACAUUGGGACUGAGACACGGCCCAGACUCCUACGGGAGGCAGCAGUGGGGAAUAUUGCGCAAUGGGCGAAAGCCUGACGCAGCGACGCCGCGUGCGGGAUGAAGGCCUUCGGGUCGUAAACCGCUGUCGCGAGGGACGAAAAUCUGACGUACUCAAAGAGCCCG